rnacentral:rRNA from 1 species
GACGAACGCUGGCGGCGUGCCUAAUACAUGCAAGUCGAGCGGACGAAUCGAAAGCUUGCUUUUGAUUCGUUAGCGGCGGACGGGUGAGUAACACGUGGGCAACCUGCCCUGUAGACGGGGAUAACACCGAGAAAUCGGUGCUAAUACCGGAUAACACGAAAUGUCGCAUGACGUUUCGUUGAAAGACGGCGCAAGCUGUCGCUACAGGAUGGGCCCGCGGCGCAUUAGCGAGUUGGUGAGGUAACGGCUCACCAAGGCGACGAUGCGUAGCAGACCUGGGAGGGUGAGCGGCCAGACUGGGACUGAGACACGGCCCAGACUCAUACGGGAGGCAGCAGUAGGGAAUCUUCCGCAAUGGACGAAAGUCUGACGGAGCAACGCCGCGUGAGCGAAGAAGGCCUUCGGGUCGUAAAGCUCUGUUGUUAGGGAAGAACAAGUAACGCAGUAACUGGCGUUACCGUGACGGUACCUAACGAGAAAGCCACGGCUAACUACGUGCCAGCCGCCGCCGUAAUAC